UACGUAGGCAGCGAGCGUUGUUCGGAGUUACUGGGCGUAAAGGGUGUGUAGGCGGUUCUUUAAGUUUGGUGUGAAAUCUCCCGGCUCAACCGGGAGGGUGCGCCGAAUACUGAGGGACUCGAGUGCGGGAGAGGAAAGUGGAAUUCCUGGUGUAGCGGUGAAAUGCGUAGAUAUCAGGAGGAACACCGGUGGUGUAGACGGCUUUCUAGUACGGUACUGACGCUGAGACGCGAAAGCGUGGGGAGCGAACAGG
rnacentral:rRNA from 1 species